UGCAAGCCACGGUGCAGGACAUGGGAAGAAAUGAGACGGCGGGGCUAGCCACUAACUCAGUCUUCUAGUCUUCCAGCUGAGACCCCAGGCAGCACAGCACACAGACAUGCCAGCCCUGCUGUGCCCGGGGCUCCACUCCUGCCCUGGAAUCUGCGAGCAUGGCACUAUCUGCUUGACAUCAUUGAGUUCUGAGCUACCCUGGUCCGCAGCCACAGUCACUCGAGCCAGACUAGGGCAGGCAGAACUAUGUGGAGGCCCAAAGACAUUGUGGAUGCCGGCCCCUGCCCAUUGCUCUUUAUACACUUUGAAAUCAGAACCCGCCAAUGGAACGGCCGGAGCAAAGUGGUCCGCUCUAAAGAGGAUGCCGAUGAAUAGCUCCAGCUUAAGGAGGAGGAAACUGAGACCCAGACAGACAGUCCACGAAAGGGUGGAGCAGAGAAUCACCCACAUCCAGAUGGUAUGGAUGAAAGUUGGAGAAGAAAGGAAAGGAACCUGUCCACGGCCAGAUCAUCCCGAGGAGAGAGCUGUGAGUCUGGAACCAGAGAAGCCCUCUCUGCUCUCGGAUCUGGCUGCUGGGGAUGGUCUGGUCACUGCCGGCUGCCCCUCCCCCCUCCCAAGCCGAGUUUGAAACUGGCCAGUGUGAGAACGUCCGCCUGGGAAUCGAGAAGGAGCAUCAUUCGACCCACCACCGUCAGUCCACGGUCGCACAGUGAGUGAGCGGCAGAGACAAGGCUCACACAGGCUCAGGGCCACACCGCUGAGUGUCGCAGAGAGGAAGAGGACGGAGCAGGCUCUGGGCGAAGGCUGGGCUUGCGAGCCGCAUCGUGCUACCCCGGGAGCUCUCUCUGGCUCCCCAAGACCAGCCCUCCCCCUCCCACCGGUGACU